ensembl:lncRNA novel transcript
UGUCUAGAAGGUGAGGACAGUGCUGCGGCCGUGUUUCUGCUGGCUCCGGCCCGAGGCUGUCUCCCAGACAGCUGCUGUCCCACUGAAUUAGGUUCAAGCGAACACGGCCAUUGAGAUCCAAAGUAUUUCUGGCUGGUUUGGGCGUGGGUCCUUUCUCUAGAUGAAUAUUUUAAUGUGGGAAUUCAGAGGAAAGCUAUGGGGAAAGCAGUGUUGGUCAACUGACGACGCUAAAGAACCACCUUCGGUGGUUGUCACGAGAAUGUGGAAAAUACAGAAAAGUAUAAGCAGAAGCAUAAAAAUUAUUCACAGUUGCACCCUUGGAGGGAGCUGUCCUAUAAAUCUUGAUGGACUUUCAUCAAAUUCAAAGAAAAAAAAAAGAUUCCACUGGGAUUUAAUUCAGAUUGCAUUUCACCGAAAAAUUACAAGGAUUAACAACAAGGAUUAAUAGCAUUGCUGCAUUCAUUAUGGCAACCCAAGGUUAUGUCUCUCUAUUGACUAUUCUCUUUAAUUAAUCUGUGUAAAAAGUUUGCAUUUUUAAUAUAGGUCUUGGAUAUUUCUUAUUAGUGUUCUUUAUAUUUUUUUCCAAUACUCUUAAGAAUGCAUUUUUCUCCCUAUAUUUUCUGCUUGUUGUUAGAAUAGAAACAGUAUUUAUUUUGGAGAUUUUUGUAUUUUUAUCUUGUAUCUGACCCCUUCCCUAAUUUUUAUGAAUACUAAGAAUUUUACAGUCAGUACUUUUAUAUUAUCUUGGUGCAUAAUCAUAAUGUAGUCUGUAAGUAACAAACAUUUUGUUUCCUUCUUUCUAUUGUAGAGUUUGAGAAGUCGUCAGUGUGUAGUCCUGUUACCUUAAUUGUUUCUGAGUUAUGGGUUGAAUUUAUUUUGAAAUUUCAAAAAACUUCAAAGGGUAGUAUGUUAUUUUUGUGUUAAUCAAAAUGAACAAUGGGUUUCAAAAGCUUGAACAACGUCAUCUUGGGAGUGCCAAAUGAAUAGGAUGUCCUGUAUGUCAGGAGCAUGCCCACACUUUUCUUGCUAGGGUGAGUUUAUUGUCCCUGAUGAAUCCCAGGAGUACUAGUCCAUGAUGCUCUUAUUCCCUGGUGCUUUAACAUGCAGUGCAGCCGGAGUUGGCCUGAACUUUAGGAAAUGAGGUCGUAAGUCGAAAGAACAGGGAAUUGAGAAAGCACACAGAAGCAGCCAGGGCCAACAUUUUCCCCUAAACAAGCCAAUCAACAAAAAGCAAUGCCAAACAAGCCCCUUUGAAACUUUCAAAGUCCUCAUCCUAGUACCUUCCUAGCACUCUAGGAGACAUCUUUCAGCUGUUGAUUUAUGAACGCUGAGAGGCACGUGGAGGAAUUAAUGGAGGUAAAUAUCUAACUUAAAAAAUCUUCAGUAGGCAUUUUUAGACAAUCCUCCUUGAAAGAAAAGUGUGGAUGCUCUGUGCGUGUAUUGACUGCACCUGCAGGGGUAUAGCUGGAGAACACCCAGUGAGCAUCUUCAGGAGCCAAGUCACGCAGGGGCUUAGCUCUCAGUCCAUUGCGACAGUUGCCAUGAUGCCUUCUGACCAUUAAACACUUUGAACUCUUUUCUCUCAUCCUCUGUUAUUUGCUUUGGACCCAUAACAGACUCAUUAGUUAAAAAUAAGAAGCAAAGGUAAUCCUGAUGUUGAAUUACAAGUUAAUGCAGAGCACAGACAUGAAAAUAAUUCUAUGGGUUUGCUGCAGCAUAAUCCUUGCCAGAUCUCCAAGUUCCAUUCAUCUAAUGAAAAGCCUUAGUUUGAAGAACAUUUUGGAGAACUCUUACAUCAAGAGGUCUCCAGUACCUCAAAAACCAGUGUUCAAAAGGAAAAUGCACACGCGCAUUUCAGGGAGGUGGGAAUAAAAGCCUUCCUUUGCGCAGCGUGUUACAUGUGGAAAUGUGGAACGCACACGAUCAUUCUUACUGUUAAAAAACCCCACAAAGAUUAUAAAAAUAUGUCAGUUUUUUUUUGGUGCAAAAACUCACACGAUUAAA